UGGGGAAUAUUGGACAAUGGGCGAAAGCCUGAUCCAGCCAUGCCGCGUGUGUGAUGAAGGCCUUUUGGUUGUAAAGCACUUUAAGCGAGGAGGAGGCUAAUUGGAUUAAUACUUCAGGAUAGUGGACGCUACUCGCAGAAUAAGCACCGGCUAACUCUGUGCCAGCAGCCGCGGUAAUACAGAGGGUGCGAGCGUUAAUCGGAUUUACUGGGCGUAAAGCGUGCGUAGGAGGCUUCUUAAGUCGGAUGUGAAAUCCCUGGGCUUAACUGAGGAAUUGCAUUGGAUACUGGGAAGCUAGAGUAUGGGAGAGGAUGGUGGAAUUCCAGGUGUAGCGGUGAAAUGCGUAGAGAUCUGGAGGAAUACCGAUGGCGAAGGCAACCAUCUGGCCUGCUACUGAAGCUGAGGUACGAAAGCAUGGGGAGCAAACAGG
rnacentral:rRNA from 1 species